rnacentral:rRNA from 1 species
AUAUGGAUUGUGUCAGCAGCCGCGCGGUAAUACGGGAGUGGCAAGCGUUAUCCGGAAUUAUUGGGCGUAAAGCGUCCGCAGGCGGCCCUUUCAAGUCUGCUGUUAAAAAGUGGAGCUUAACUCCAUCAUGGCAGUGGAAACUGUUGGGCUUGAGUGUGGUAGGGGCAGAGGGAAUUCCCGGUGUAGCGGUGAAAUGCGUAGAUAUCGGGAAGAACACCAGUGGCGAAGGCGCUCUGCUGGGCCAUCACUGACGCUCAUGGACGAAAGCCAGGGGAGCGAAAGGGAUUAGAUACCCCUGUAGUCCUGGCCGUAAACGAUGAACACUAGGUGUCGGGGGAAUCGACCCCCUCGGUGUCGUAGCCAACGCGUUAAGUGUUCCGCCUGGGGAGUACGCACGCAAGUGUGAAACUCAAAGGAAUUGACGGGGGCCCGCACAAGCGGUGGAGUAUGUGGUUUAAUUCGAUGCAACGCGAAGAACCUUACCAGGGUUUGACAUCCUGCGAAUCUCUUGGAAACAGGAGAGUGCCUUCGGGAACGCAGUGACAGGUGGUGCAUGGCUGUCGUCAGCUCGUGUCGUGAGAUGUUGGGUUAAGUCCCGCAACGAGCGCAACCCACGUCUUUAGUUGCCAGCAUUUAGUUGGGCACUCUAGAGAGACUGCCGGUGAUAAACCGGAGGAAGGUGUGGAUGACGUCAAGUCAUCAUGCCCCUUACAUCCUGGGCUACACACGUACUACAAUGCUACGGACAAAGGGCAGCAAGUUCGCGAGGACAAGCAAAUCCCAUAAACCGUGGCUCAGUUCAGAUCGUAGGCUGCAACUCGCCUACGUGAAGGCGGAAUCGCUAGUAAUCGCAGGUCAGCAUACUGCAGUGAAUACGUUCCCGGGCCUUGUACACACCGCCCGUCA